GAUGAACGCUGGCGGCGUGCCUAAUACAUGCAAGUCGAGCGAACAGACGAGGAGCUUGCUCCUCUGACGUUAGCGGCGGACGGGUGAGUAACACGUGGAUAACCUACCUAUCAGACUGGGAUAACUUCGGGAAACCGGCGCUAAUACCGGAUAAUAUAUUGAACCGCAUGGUUCAAUAGUGAAAGACGGUUUUGCUGUCACUUAUAGAUGGAUCCGCGCCGCAUUAGCUAGUUGGUAAGGUAACGGCUUACCAAGGCGACGAUGCGUAGCCGACCUGAGAGGGUGAUCGGCCACACUGGAACUGAGACACGGUCCAGACUCCUACGGGAGGCAGCAGUAGGGAAUCUUACGCAAUGGGCGAAAGCCUGACGGAGCAACGCCGAGUGAGUGAUGAAGGUCUUCGGAGCGUAAAACUCUGUUAUUAGGGAAGAACAAAUGUGUAAGUAACUAUGCACGUCUUGACGGUACCUAAUCAGAAAGCCACGGCUAACUACGUG
rnacentral:rRNA from 1 species